GAUGAACGCUGGCGGCGUGCCUAAUACAUGCAAGUCGAGCGAACAGACGAGGAGCUUGCUCCUCUGACGUUAGCGGCGGACGGGUGAGUAACACGUGGAUAACCUACCUAUAAGACUGGGAUAACUUCGGGAAACCGGAGCUAAUACCGGAUAAUAUAUUGAACCGCAUGGUUCAAUAGUGAAAGACGGUUUUGCUGUCACUUAUAGAUGGAUCCGCGCCGCAUUAGCUAGUUGGUAAGGUAACGGCUUACCAAGGCAACGAUGCGUAGCCGACCUGAGAGGGUGCACGCCAACACGGGAACUGAGACCCGGCCCAGACUCCGACGGGAGGCACAAUGGGGGAUUCUUCCGAAAGGGGAGAAGGCCGGACGGAGCAACCCCGCGGGGUUAAGGAAGGUCUUCGGAUCGAAAAACUUUUUUAUUAGGGAAAAAAAAAUGUGUAAGUAACUAUGCACGUCUGGAGGUUCCCUAACCAGAAAGCCAGGGCUACCUACGUC
rnacentral:rRNA from 1 species